rnacentral:rRNA from 1 species
UACGUAGGGCGCAAGCGUUAUCCGGAAUUAUUGGGCGUAAAGAGCUCGUAGGCGGUUUGUCGCGUCUGCCGUGAAAGUCCGAGGCUCAACCUCGGAUCUGCGGUGGGUACGGGCAGACUAGAGUGAUGUAGGGGAGACUGGAAUUCCUGGUGUAGCGGUGAAAUGCGCAGAUAUCAGGAGGAACACCGGUGGCGAAGGCGGGUCUCUGGGCCGUAACUGACGCUGAGGAGCGAAAGCGUGGGGAGCGAACAGG